rnacentral:rRNA from 1 species
GUAGGGAAUCUUCGGCAAUGGACGAAAGUCUGACCGAGCAACGCCGCGUGAGUGAAGAAGGUUUUCGGAUCGUAAAACUCUGUUGUUAGAGAAGAACGUUAAGUAGAGUGGAAAAUUACUUAAGUGACGGUAUCUAACCAGAAAGGGACGGCUAACUACGUGCCAGCAGCCGCGGUAAUACGUAGGUCCCAAGCGUUGUCCGGAUUUAUUGGGCGUAAAGCGAGCGCAGGUGGUUUCUUAAGUCUGGUGUAAAAGGCAGUGGCUCAACCAUUGUAUGCAGUGGAAACUGGUAGACUUGAGUGCAGGAGAGGAGAGUGGAAUUCCAUGUGUAGCGGUGAAAUGCGUAGAUAUAUGGAGGAACACCGGCGGCGAAAGCGGCUCUCUGGCCUGUAACUGACACUGAGGCUCGAAAGCGUGGGGAGCAAACAGGAUUAGAAACCCUUGUAGUCC